AAAAACAUAGUAUUAAGAUUUAUUUAAUAUAGAAUCUGCUCAAUGAGUAAAAUUAAAUAGCUGCAGUAUUUUGACUGUGCAAAGGUAGCAUAAUAAUUAGUCUUUUAAUUGAAGACUAGAAUGAAAGAUUUGAUGAGAAAUAAACUUUAUUAUUUAUAUAAUUAAAAUUUUAUUUUUAAGUAAAAAAGCUUAAAUAUUUUAAAGGGACGAUAAGACCCUAUAAAACUUUAUAAUUUUAUUUAUUAUAAUUUUUGGUUUAUAUAAAUUUUAAUAUUUUUAAUUAUUUUAUUGGGGUGAUAAAAAAAAUUAUUAAACUUUUUUUAAAAUUUAACAUAAAUUAAUGAUAUUUUGAAUUAAAAUUUUUAUUUAAAUGAAAAAGUUACUUUAGGGAUAACAGCGUAAUUAGUUUUUUAAGUUCAAAUUUAAAAAUUAGUUUGCGACCUCGAUGUUGAAUUAAGAUUAAUCUUAGGUGCAAAAUUUUAAGUUUUAGGUCUGUUCGAC
rnacentral:rRNA from 1 species